rnacentral:rRNA from 1 species
UAGCAUGAAGUCAGACAAGUGAACCCGCUGAAUUUAAGCAUAUCAAAAAGGGGGAGGAAACCCCCCCCCCCCCCCCCCCCC